UACGGCGGUCAUAGCGUGGGGGAAACGCCCGGUUCCAUUCCGAACCCGGAAGCUAAGGCCCACAGCGCCGAUGGUACUGCA
rnacentral:rRNA from 1 species